GAUGAACGCUGGCGGCGUGCUUAACACAUGCAAGUCGAACGAUGAAGCUAGAGCUUGCUCUGGUGGAUUAGUGGCGAACGGGUGAGUAACACGUGAGUAACCUGCCCCGAACUCUGGGAUAACUGCUGGAAACGGUAGCUAAUACUGGAUACGACCAACGAAGGCAUCUUCUGUUGGUGGAAAGAAUUUCGGUUCGGGAUGGACUCGCGGCCUAUCAGCUUGUUGGUGAGGUAACGGCUCACCAAGGCGACGACGGGUAGCCGGCCUGAGAGGGUGGUCGGCCACACUGGGACUGAGACACGGCCCAGACUCCUACGGGAGGCAGCAGUGGGGAAUAUUGCACAAUGGGCGCAAGCCUGAUGCAGCAACGCCGCGUGAGGGACGACGGCCUUCGGGUUGUAAACCUCUUUUAGUAGGGAAGAAGCGAAAGUGACGGUACCUGCAGAAAAAGCACCGGCUAACUACGUGCCAGCCGCCGCUGUAA
rnacentral:rRNA from 1 species